GACGAACGCUGGCGGCGUGCCUAAUACAUGCAAGUCGAACGCUUCUUUCCCCCCGAGUGCUUGCACUCAAUUGGAAAGAGGAGUGGCGGACGGGUGAGUAACACGUGGGUAACCUACCCAUCAGAGGGGGAUAACACUUGGAAACAGGUGCUAAUACCGCAUAACAGUUUAUGCCGCAUGGCAUAAGAGUGAAAGGCGCUUUCGGGUGUCGCUGAUGGAUGGACCCGCGGUGCAUUAGCUAGUUGGUGAGGUAACGGCUCACCAAGGCCACGAUGCAUAGCCGACCUGAGAGGGUGAUCGGCCACACUGGGACUGAGACACGGCCCAGACUCCUACGGGAGGCAGCAGUAGGGAAUCUUCGGCAAUGGACGAAAGUCUGACCGAGCAACGCCGCGUGAGUGAAGAAGGUUUUCGGAUCGUAAAACUCUGUUGUUAGAGAAGAACAAGGACGUUAGUAACUGAACGUCCCCUGACGGUAUCUAACCAGAAAGCCACGGCUAACUACGUG
rnacentral:rRNA from 1 species